rnacentral:rRNA from 1 species
CAGUAGCCGCGGGAAUGCGUAGGGUGCAAGCGUUAAUCGGAAUUACUGGGCGUAAAGCGUGCGCAGGCGGUUUGUUAAGACAGAUGUGAAAUCCCCGGGCUCAACCUGGGAACUGCAUUUGUGACUGGCAAGCUAGAGUGUGGCAGAGGGGGGUGGAAUUCCGCGUGUAGCAGUGAAAUGCGUAGAUAUGCGGAGGAACACCGAUGGCGAAGGCAGCCCCCUGGGCCAACACUGACGCUCAUGCACGAAAGCGUGGGGAGCAAACAGGAUUAGAUACCCCCGUAGUCCCUGUCUCUUAUAC